rnacentral:misc_RNA from 1 species
UCCCCGUUACCGGGGCAGUCUGAAUAGAAAAAUACAACUAUUCACAAGGGUUGCGCUCGUUGAUGGACUUAACCAAACAUCUCACGACACGAGCUGACGACGGCCAUGCAACAGCUGUCACUUGGCUCAAUAAAGCACUCACUACUUUCGUAGUAAUUCCAAGGAUGUCAAACCCUGGUAAGGUUCAUCGGUUAUCAUCGAAUUAAAGAACAUAAUCCACCGCUUGUGCGGCUCCCCGUCAAUUCCUUUAUGUUUUAGUCUUGCGACCGUACUCCACAGGCGGGAUACUUAACGCGUUAGCUUCGACACUGAGAGCCUAGUUGCUCCCAACGUCCAGUUCGCAUCGUUUAGGGCGUGGACUAC